rnacentral:rRNA from 1 species
UACAGAGGUCGCAAGCGUUGUUCGGAUUCACUGGGCGUAAAGGGCGCGUAGGUGGCGAGGUAAGUCGGAUGUGAAAGCUCGGAGCUCAACUCCGAAAUGGCAUUGGAAACUGCCUUGCUAGAGUGUCGGAGGGGGGACUGGAAUUCUUGGUGUAGCAGUGAAAUGCGUAGAUAUCAAGAGGAACACCAGUGGCGAAGGCGAGUCCCUGGACGACUCCUGACACUGAGGCACGAAAGCUAGGGGAGCAAACAGG